rnacentral:rRNA from 1 species
GAAGUAUCUUCGGAUAUGAGUAGAGCGGCGGACGGGUGAGUAACGCGUAGGAAUCUACCUAGUAGAAGGGGAUAGCCCGGGGAAACUCGGAUUAAUACCGUAUACCUCCUUAGGGAGAAAGAGGGCCUCUCUUGAUGCUCUCGCUAUUAGAUGAGCCUGCGUAAGAUUAGCUUGUUGGUAAGGUAAUGGCUUACCAAGGCUACGAUCUUUAGCUGGUCUGAGAGGACGAUCAGCCACAUUGGGACUGAGACACGGCCCAGACUCCUACGGGAGGCAGCAGUGGGGAAUAUUGGACAAUGGGCGCAAGCCUGAUCCAGCCAUACCGCGUGUGUGAAGAAGGCCUUCGGGUUGUAAAGCACUUUAAGCAGGGAGAAAAAGUUAUAAGUUAAUACCUUAUAACCGUGAUGUUACCUGCAGAAUAAGCACCGGCUAAUUCCGUGCCAGCAGCCGCGGUAAUACGGAAGGUGCAAGCGUUAAUCGGAAUUACUGGGCGUAAAGCGCGCGUAGGUGGUUUGUUAAGUUGGAUGUGAAAGCCCUGGGCUCAACCUAGGAACUGCAUCCAAAACUAACUCACUAGAGUACGAUAGAGGGAGGUAGAAUUCAUAGUGUAGCGGUGGAAUGCGUAGAUAUUAUGAAGAAUACCAGUGGCGAAGGCGGCCUCCUGGAUCUGUACUGACACUAAGGUGCGAAAGCGUGGGUAGCGAACAGGAUUAGAUACCCUGGUAGUCCACGCCGUAAACGAUGACAACUAGCUGUUGGGAGACAAUGUCUUUCAGUGGCGCAG